GAACGCUGGCGGCGUGCUUAACACAUGCAAGUCGAACGAGAUCCAUUCAGUAGCAAUACUGAUGAAGAUCUAGUGGCGAACGGGUGCGUAACACGUGAGGAACUUGUCCCGGUCUCUGGGAUAACAGUUGGAAACGACUGCUAAUACCGGAUGACGUCGGAACUUCGCAUGGAGUACUGACGAAAGGGUUACUGGAUCGGGAGAGCCUCGCGGCCUAUCAGCUUGUUGGUGGGGUAAUGGCCUACCAAGGCAUCGACGGGUAGCUGGUCUGAGAGGAUGAUCAGCCACACUGGGACUGAGACACGGCCCAGACUCCUACGGGAGGCAGCAGUGGGGAAUCUUGCACAAUGGGCGAAAGCCUGAUGCAGCAACGCCGCGUGCGGGAAGAAGGCCCUCGGGUUGUAAACCGCUUUCAGAAGGAACGAAACUGACGGUACUUUCAGAAGAAGGUGCGGCCAACUACGUGCCAGCAGCCACGGUGACACGUAGGCACCAAGCGUUGUCCGGAUUUAUUGGGCGUAAAGAGCUCGUAGGCGGUUCAGUAAGUCGGGUGUGAAAACUUUGGGCUUAACCCAAAGCGUGCAUCCGAUACUGCUGUGACUUGAGUACGGUAGGGGAGCGGGGAAUUCCUAGUGUAGCGGUGAAAUGCGCAGAUAUUAGGAGGAACACCGGUGGCGAAGGCGCCGCUCUGGGCCGAAACUGACGCUGAGGAGCGAAAGCAUGGGUAGCAAACAGGAUUAGAUACCCUGGUAGUCCAUGCCGUAAACGUUGGGCACUAGGUGUGGGUUCCAACCAACGGAAUCCGCGCCGUCGCUAACGCAUUAAGUGCCCCGCCUGGGGAGUACGGCCGCAAGGUUAAGACUCAAAGGAAUUGACGGGGGCCCGCACAAGCAGCGGAGCGUGUUGCUUAAUUCGAUGCUACGCGAAGAACCUUACCUGGGCUUAACAUGUGGGGAAAAGCACUAGAGAUA
rnacentral:rRNA from 1 species